GGCUUGUGCAUCAGAACUACCGGCUCUGCUUUUCCCUCGUCUCAGGGAUUCACACUCCGGAGCACCUUGGGGAACUUGGAGCCACUGAUGAAAGUAAUGCCUGAGAGAGUGGCAUCAGCAGCCGCAGCGAAGGUGCUCCAUCUCUGUGAACUAACAUAAGUAAAAGCAAAAGAGAGAGGACCUUUCUCUUUUAAGAAAUAACCAGGGAUCUCAUGAACAAUGCCUGCAAUGUGUCAGCUGGUCCAGGAAAAGGAAGGAAGGAAGCCUGUUCCUUCAUGUAGGAAAUGAGUUGCCAGUCCAGGUUCGAUGCACGAUGCUGGAUGCUUGGGGCUGGUGCACUGGACGGCCCAGAGGGAUGAGCAUAGUAUAUCUUCAAAGAGGCCCUUCUGCCUAUCCUGAGGGAAACUCAUUGGGAUGAAGCUGCUGUGUCUUCCAAGAGGGUUACCAUCUGGUGUUGACCAGCAUAGGAACACCGAUGCAAAGGACAGCUGUCUGGACCAGGCUAGCAUGUUGUGUCUAGUGGUAUAUUCACUCCUUCGAAUACCCUGUAAAAUAGGUUUUCAUUUCCACAGAUUACAAACGAGACUUCAAGAGAUUCAUUAAGCUACUGCAGGUCACAAUUUAGUAAAAUCUGGAACUAGUACAAUCUAUACCUCCCUGGCUCCAAACAUGUGUUCUUUUCUUUCUGCCAAACUUCCUAGAAUAAAAAGUAAAAUGUGUAAAUAGGAUGCCACCUGACAGUUUUAGAACCUAAGAAGCUGAGAAAUGCCAAGCCUACCCAUAGUAAAUCCUGGGUAAAGCCUGGGGUUUGGAUCCUAGCAGACCCAAGCAUUCGAGAGCCAUGGUUUUAUUGAUCUUCACACUGUUUGACUUCAAUUCAAAGUAAAAUUUGCCAUCAUUUAGGUACAUCCAUGUCUCUACAAAUAACCAAAUUUUGUUCCUUUUUAAGGCUGAAUAACAUUCCAUUGCAUAUAUGUACCACAUCUUCUUUAUCCAUUCCUCUGCCGAUUGACAUUAGGUUACUUCUAUGUCUUAGCUAUUGGAAAUUGU
ensembl:lncRNA